rnacentral:rRNA from 1 species
AGAGUUUGAUCCUGGCUCAGGACGAACGCUGGCGGCGUGCCUAAUGCAUGCAAGUCGAACGCACUGCCUUCGGGCAGUGAGUGGCGCACGGCUGAGGAACACGUGGGAAUCUGCCCGACCGUGGGGGAUAACACGCCGAAAGGCGUGCUAAGCCCGCAUACGCUCGCAAGAGGAAAGCGGCAACGCGCGGUCGGAGGAGCCUGCGGCCCAUCAGGUAGUCGGCGGGGUAACGGCCCACCGAGCCGGUGACGGGUAGCUGGUCUGUGAGGACAGACAGCCAGACUGGGACUGAGACACGGCCCAGACUCCUACGGGAGGCAGCAGCAAGGAAUUUUCGGCAAUGGGCGCAAGCCUGACCGAGCAACGCCGCGUGGAGGACGACGGCCUUCGGGUUGUAAACUCCUUUUGCGGGGGACGAUUGUGACUGUACCCCGCGAAUCAGGCUCGGCUAACUCUGUGCCAGCAGCCGCGGUAAGACAGAGGAGCCAAGCGUUGUCCGGAUUGACUGGGCGUAAAGCGCACGCAGGCGGCUGGGCACGUGGGGUGUGAAACCUGGCGGCUUAACUGCCAGACGCCAUCCCAUACGGCCCGGCUCGAGGCAGGCAGAGGUUCGUGGAAUUGCCGGUGUAGUGGUGAAAUGCGUAGAGAUCGGCAGGAACACCAAGGGCGAAAGCAGCGAACUGGGCCUGUUCUGACGCUCAGGUGCGAAAGCGUGGGGAGCGAACCGGAUUAGAUACCCGGGUAGUCCACGCCGUAAACGAUGAAUACUCGGCAUCUUUCGACCGAUUUUCG